rnacentral:rRNA from 1 species
GCGUGAGUGAUGAAGGCCUUCGGGUCGUAAAGCUCUUUUACCAGGGAUGAUAAUGACAGUACCUGGAGAAUAAGCUCCGGCUAACUCCGUGCCAGCAGCCGCGGUAAUACGGAGGGAGCUAGCGUUGUUCGGAAUUACUGGGCGUAAAGCGCGCGUAGGCGGCUUUGUAAGUCAGAGGUGAAAGCCUGGAGCUCAACUCCAGAACUGCCUUUGAAACUACAUCGCUAGAACGAUGGAGAGGUAAGUGGAAUUCCGAGUGUAGAGGUGAAAUUCGU